UCUCUACGGGAGAAAAUAAAGGCCUCUCUUCCUGCAAGGCCGCUGAGGACUAAUUCGAGGCCAUAGGACUCUGGCUAAAGGCUGCCACGUGGUUUCCUGCUCAGCUCAGCUGUUGGGCUCCUGUGUUGUUUGGCUCUCCAGUCAAGGUCUGCGGCAGGUACGGAGGCCGUAUCAGGAGCACCUGCUCACAUCCAUGCCCCCGGGAGCCAAGGCCCAGGUGUCUCAGGUGGGCCGGGAGGAGGCUGUCAGGGUGCGAGGCCCUCAGAGCUGUUGGAUCCCACCCACCUCCCUUACUUGACUGAUAAACGAGCCAGCCCAGAGAAGGUCAGAACCCUGAACAGAAGCCCCCAGAAAAGCUGGGGUGACAUGAAGACUCAUGAAGAACAGGAAGACUCCAUGCCAGGAGAACGUCACCAGCGUGAGCCCAAGCUCUGCAUCUAAGCCGCCACUUCACCUCUCAUUACCCGAACACACCCACCAGCGCCGGGCGCUCUUCUAAGAUUUUAAAAUAUCAGCUCAUGAGUAUUUUCAUCUUCAUAGCAACCUACGAGGUGAGGACACAGUGAGAAGGUGGCCAUCUGCAAGGCAGAAAGAGAGUUCUCACCAGGACAUCACCAUGCUGGUGCCCUGACCUUGGACUUCCAGUCUCUAGAGCUGUGAGGAAAUAAAUUCCUGUUGUGUAAGCCA